rnacentral:lncRNA from 1 species
AAUCUUUUCCUAAGUAUCAAAAGUAAUUUGAAAUCCAUUAGGAAAAAAAAAAAACACGUGAUGAGCUACAGAAUAGACAGCACAAUGCACACUGUAGAGGGCAUAGCAAGCUCAUGCAUGAUUCCAGCAGUAGCUAAUUCUACUCAGAAGGCAUAGCUGUGGGAUCCAGAGCAAUACUUUAGGGAACCAGACAACCAGUCUAUUUAGAGGAAGGCUUUUAGUAUCUGGCGGUUGGAAAGCAGAAUACUCCUAUUGCCACCAUCACCCCACCCCCACUAACUUGGGCAGUGAGGAAGAGGUUUUGGUGGAGGAGAGGUGAGCAGGGUUUCAGGGUCUUGACCAAGAGCAGAAAGGUAUAACAUUAUCACCGUCAUCAUUUGCUGUCACCGAAUAUUGAUAACAGGCAUCAUUUACUGGGAUUUUACUAAGUGCUGGGCAAUAAGUGCUUUAGAUACUCACAUCUAGGUCCUUCCCUAACAUUUGAGGGGCCUGGGGCAAAAAUACAAACAGGAAAUACCUAUAAAAUAUCUCUAAAUAUGCAAACAUUAUAAAUCAGGCUAGCAAGCUAUUAAAAUGUGUUUAUCUCCUAUCUUCACAAUCAUACCUUUGUUAUGACUUGCAAAGCCAUAUUCAAAUUUAAAUGCAGAACCCCUUGUUCAAGCAGUAGUUAAAAAAAAAUGUUAUUAAAGCUACUAAAAUACAAAGUUUUUUCCUCUCUUCCAUAUUCUUUCUCAGCUUGUCAUGGUGUUUUGGUUAUUUAAAGUUGUUCUAAAUAAAGAUAAAUCACAAUUUUAAAGUGCUUACAUGACUUCAGUAUUCAUGUUUAUAUUAUACAAUGGGAGUCUCAAAUGCAAAUAAAAGAACACCUAUCUUGUAUGUGUCACACACAUUUUGCAUUUUGUAGAUUGUACAUGCAUGUGUAUUUCAUUCUUGGCAGAACGGUGAAAACAGUGCACAAAAUAGACUCAAGUGUUUUUAUUUUACAUCUUGUUAUGUAUUCUCUACCUUUGGCUUCCCUUUGAAUAAGGAAGACUGAAGAAAAAGGAACUAUGGGUGGCCCUAUUUUUUUUCUUACCUUCUUUCUAUAUCAUCAUUUUCAACAUAAGUUCCCUUUGUUGGCUAACAAAGGGAAAUAAUAAAAUUAAGAAAAAAUGCAAUACAAUUUCUUGGUUGUUUGUGUUUCUUAGAAUAUCAUUGCCUUCUUUCUGUGUUCAGGGCUGUCAGAGAGCCACCUACUUAAUUAUAGAUAUAACAUGUUCACCUGGUACCCACUUUGAGUCUCCCUGAACUCCAAUGUAUUGUGGGUUCACCUGAACUCUGUGCUUAUGGGACAGUAUGAAUGCUUUAUGCAAAUUGGGUUGCAAGGAACGGCAGAUGCACAUAGUGCAUGUAUUUCUUCUACUUAAAUGCAUGAACCACUGUCCCAGCAAACUUCACUUACAAAACACAAGUUCAAAGACAAAAUUAAUAAGAAUUUCAAGACAACUACAACAAAGCAUUAAACCAA